rnacentral:tRNA from 1 species
GGGGUUGUGGCUCAGUGGUAGAGCACAUGCCUUGCAUGUGUGAGGCACUGGGUUCGAUCCUCAGUACCACA